AGUGAACGCUGGCGGCGUGCCUAAUACAUGCAAGUCGAACGGAGUGGCUCACGGUUGCGUACUGUAUAGCUAAUCUUCCCUACACUAGAGGACAACAGUUGGAAACGACUGCUAAUACUCUAUAGUGUAGGAUGAGGAUAUAUUGUAUCAGCUAGUUGGUGAGGUAAUGGCUCACCAAGGGUAUGACGCAUAACUGGUCUGAGAGGAUGAUCAGUCACACGGGAACUGAGACACGGUCCAGACUCCUACGGGAGGCAGCAGUAGGGAAUAUUGCUCAAUGGGGGAAAGCCUGAAGCAGCAACGCCGCGUGGAGGAUGACACUUUGCGGAGCGUAAACUCCUUUUGUUAGGGAAGCGGUACCUAACGAAUAAGCACCGGCUAACUCCGUGACAGCAGCCGCGGUAAUAC
rnacentral:rRNA from 1 species